rnacentral:tRNA from 3 species
GGGGCUGUAGCUCAGUUGGGAGAGCGCUUGAAUGGCAUUCAAGAGGUCAGGGGUUCGAAUCCCCUCAGCUCCACCA